CAAUUUGUUCAAGAUAAAAAUUCAUUCAACACAACUUGUUAGAACCAUUCACUUCCAAGUUUAGCAUUAAGUGCCCCAAAUCCCAGCAGACCUCACCUAAUAAUUCAACCAAAUUAGUGCUGUUAACCUUUUCAGAUUCACAUCUACCACAACGAACAGUUCUCUUGCAAUAAUAAGCUUCUGAAAAAAUGGGUUCCGGCCAAAGAAACAAACGACCAUAUGCAGAAUAUACAAACUCCGACAAGAAUGUCAAAAGACGUGAUACGUAUAGGCAAAUAUCGCCUGAUAAAAAAGAGGCAAUGUUACUACAACGCCGUACCAAAGAACUUGAGCGGCAAAAAUGGAAUAGUUCCAUAAACUCGGUAGCUGCUCCGGAUAAAAGAGUAACCAAUGUCACCCUAUGAUUCGAAAACCUAUUGCUCUUACCAUAAGAGAGGCUUCUUCUGCAGACGACGAAGGUUGCAGCUCUAUAUAGCUGAGACUGCAUUGCCUGCUCUUUGAUGUUAAUUACUUGACAUCUUUGACUGAGGUCUUAGAAUUCUACUCAUUCCGGGGGAAAUUACUCGGUCAACCCAAAGCAAGGUUGCAAGAUACUCAACAGAUGGAACAUCGGUAUACCAUUCAUGAAAUCACGCCAUUUACUAGAGAUUGGACUUGUAAUAUACACGUUGUUGACAAAAUCCGCCCCAAAAUCAGCAGAGAUAAUCGGGUGCACUUUCAAACAACCAUCGUCCAGGACUAAAAAAUGCGUUAUCAGAUUUGAAGUGCAACAAAGGUCGCUCAAAUUUUUUCCCGAUAGCCUACCACGGUUGUAAUACUUGCAUUGAAGGCACAUUUUGAUGGUGUUGUUUACUGCAGUACAGUCUUCCAUAUUUUGUGUAAAUAGGUACGUAGAUUUUCAUGAACCGUUUACUGCAGUACAAUGUCUCACAUUUUGUAUAAAUAGUUAGGCAAACUGACUCUUACCAGCA